rnacentral:rRNA from 1 species
UACGUAGGGGGCGAGCGUUGUCCGGAUUUACUGGGCGUAAAGGGCGCGCAGGUGGCCUGGUCAGUCCGUCGUGAAAGCCUCGGGCUCAACUCGGGGUGGUCGGCGGGGACGGCGAGGCUUUAGAGGCCGGUAGAGGAGCACGGAAUUCCCGGUGUAGUGGUGAAAUGCGUAGAGAUCGGGAGGAACACCAGUGGCGAAGGCGGUGCUCUGGGCCGAGCCUGACGCUGAGGCGCGAAAGCUAGGGGAGCAAACGGG